CACGUAGGGUGCGAGCGUUGUCCGGAAUUAUUGGGCGUAAAGAGCUCGUAGGCGGUGUGUCGCGUCGGCCGUGAAAACCUGCAGCUUAACUGUGGGCUUGCGGUCGAUACGGGCAUCACUGGAGUUCGGCAGGGGAGACUGGAAUUCCUGGUGUAGCGGUGAAAUGCGCAGAUAUCAGGAGGAACACCGGUGGCGAAGGCGGGUCUCUGGGCCGAUACUGACGCUGGAGACGCGAAAGCGUGGGGAGCGAACAGG
rnacentral:rRNA from 1 species